rnacentral:rRNA from 1 species
AUUCCAGCUCCAAUAGCGUAUAUUAAAGUUGUUGCGGUUAAAAAGCUCGUAGUUGGAUUUCUGCUGAGGACGACUGGUCCGCCCCCUGGGUGAGCAUCUGGUUCGGCCUGGGCAUCUUCUUGGGGAACGUAUCUGCACUUGAUUGUGUGGUGCGGUAUCCAGGACUUUUACUUUGAGGAAAUUAGAGUGUUUCAAGCAGGCCCGCGCCUUGAAUACAUUAGCAUGGAAUAAUAAGAUAGGACCUCGUUUCUAUUUUGUUGGUUUUCGGAAAUCGACUUAAUGAUUAAUAGGGAUAGUCGGGGGCAUUCGUAUUCAAACGACAGAGGUGAAAUUCUUGGACCGUUUGAAGACGAACUAAGGCGAAAGCAUUUGCCAAGAAUGUUUUCAUUG